CGUGUGAACUUUUAUAGAGGUCAGAUGUGGUGCGGCUAGGAGCAACAUACAACCCCUCAAAUUUCAGACAUGGUGAAUAAUGAUCCACACAAAGGACUAAACCCAAGUUCAACAUAGUCAAAAAAAGAAAAGUUUUCAACUGCACCAGCGAUAUUGCCUCCAGCCUCCUGCCACUAUGAUGCAACCAACAUUGCCAUUGCAGCCUUCAACCAAAAUCUUCCACAACUAGUAAUUGCUUUCACUUUCCACCAAUAUUAGUGCUACGUCUAUUAUUAUCAACAUCACCAUCUACUGGUGUUGCAGGCACAAGCUUUUGUCCAGAAAAAGUAAAAUCCUUCUUUUUAUAAAGAUUGAGAGAUGGAAGUGGCGUUGAGAAACAUGGUCAGCUCUGGGACGGGUCAAGAGGUUGACAUUGGCCCAACCUAAUAAGGCCUCAAGCACAUGGUAUCUAAUAGUGCAACCAAGGUGGCAUACUAUCGAUAAUAUCCGAUACAGGACAUACCAUACCAUAUCAUAUCAGUAUGGUGAACCAUCUUGUACUAACACUAUCAUACCAUAUCCAAGCGUAGCAAUACAAUAAUCAGACGGUA